rnacentral:misc_RNA from 1 species
GGUCUAAACAUGGGCACCAGAUGUACCAGAGACAAAUACUGCUUUAGCUGGGGUUAGAACCUGGGUCCUUUGGCAUACAAUUCCAACACUCUACCGAUAAAGACAAUGGGUAAACCCACUAGCCAGAAGAAGUAGGGAUGACAUAUAGAUUGUCCCCCACCAUUAUAAGAACAAUCUUGAUAGAACUCUAUCAUAUGCCUUGAUGUUAUAAUUUUUCACAACUAAGAACAGUCAUACAAUAGUGUUUAUACCAACUACUCUGAACUAUCUUUAUCAAAAGUACAAUAAUCAUAGCAAAGUGUCACCUAAAACCUUCAAUAUUAAUCUGUCACAAUUACAGUAAUUGGUCCAUGGUUAGCUCAUGCCGGUCUUUCCUCACAAGCACUGAUCAAAAUCACAAACAUUCAUGUGAUAUGUUUACCAUGUCAACUCCAGCUUCAUCUGCUCCUUUGUUCAUCUCACUCCAACAAAUAUGCAUGCAAGAUAUUUUAAUGCAUGUUUGAUGAUAUUGUCAUCAAUAUUUAGAUUUCAAAGUUUUAAGAAAAUGUCUAACCAUGAAUAAAUAUUUUGAACUUAUACAUGUAAUGGAUAUUAUCAAAUUAGGAUUUUAAAAAUUGUUUUUGCUGUUCAGGCAUUAACACACACAGGUUUAUCUUUUAAUGCAUAAAAAAAAAACUUCUGAAAAAGAUGCGCUAUUUAAAUGUUAUAUUUGUUUGAUCAUUUGUUACUGAGUGCAUGCAGUGUGCUGCUAUAAACUACCGGUAAGUAAUGUUGUGUUCAAAGGAUAUAUAGUGUUGCAAAUUGGUUAAAAACACAGGAAAGAUUGUUCAUUUUGAGGGCAACAAGGAAGUGAGGAAAUAACCAAACUGGUGAAUGAAUUCUGCCUGUUAGAGGUUACAUAAUGUCCUGUCUUUGCUGAGUAGAAUACUACAUGAAUGACAGCACACUUCAAAAUCUUCAUUUUUGUUCCAACAAGGAGACAUAAAGCCUUUGCAGAAAUUCUUGUGGGUACUAGUAAGUUGCUUCGUAAUUUAAUUCCAGUUUUAAGUGAUAUUUUUAUUUGGUUUUAUUUAUAUUCCUGUGUUAUCAAAAUUCUAAUUGUUGUAUAACCAUGUUUGGACAGUGGAUAAUGGCAGCACCUAAUGGUGUACAACCAACCAUAUGCAGGGUUAUUUUCAUUUAUAAUUUUGGCCCAAUUAGUACUAUAUUUUAUAUUUACCAUAUUGAAAAUUUGUUUUUUUAUUUAAAUUGUGGUGUCAUGGAGUUUUCAAUCAGUCAUGUUUUGAAUUUGCAGACUGUAAAUUGGAAAGGUGGUGGGGUGAGAAAUUUUUCCUGUAUACAGUAGUGAAUUGGUUUAUCAGGAUUAGGAGUUGUAUGGAAUAAAGCUUGAUCAUGCUAAUAUACAGUUGUGUCUCAUUAAUCUGGGCGUCUAUGUUCCCUUCAAAAUUUGGGUGAAGUAUUUAGACAACUUCGGCCCUCUUAUAUUGAAUGGAGAAUCCAAACGAUUUCCUUCCCUUUUUAAGAAAAGUUAAGAAAAAACUAUGUUUCUAUAAAUGCACAUGACAUUCUUUCUCGUGGUAAUUGGUAAAGUAACAGUAAAAAGAAAGACAACCCCAUCUAGUUAAAAUAAAAAAAACAUAGAAUAAUCCCUCUUUAUCAUGUUUAUGGUUUAAUUAUUAUGAUUCUUAAUUUCACAUGCAUUGUGUUGCACAGUGUAAUGUUAUUGAGUCGUUCAGUGAACAUAACAUACUUAAUACUAAUGAUUAGGAUAUAAGUGCUUUUAUAAGAGAUCAUAUAUUUUGAAACUGUUUAAUAGAAUACUAUUGUAACACAGUUGUAGUUAUCAUCAAAGUGGAAUCAAAUUGUACUCAUAACCCCCCCCCCCCCCUCCCCCCCCCCC